rnacentral:rRNA from 1 species
CGAACGGGUGAGUAAAACGUGAGCAACCUACCUUACACAGGGGGAUAGCCGUUGGAAACGACGACUAAUACCGCAUGAGACCACAGAAUCGCAUGAUAUAGGGGUCAAAGAUUUAUCGGUGUAAGAAGGGCUCGCGUCUGAUUAGCUAGUUGGAAGGGUAAAGGCCUACCAAGGCGACGAUCAGUAGCCGGUCUGAGAGGAUGAACGGCCACAUUGGAACUGAGACACAGUCCAA